rnacentral:tRNA from 1 species
GGAGAGAUGGCAGAGUGGUUUAUUGCACUUCCCCGCUAAGGAAGAGUGGGAAUAUAUUUCCACCGUGAGUUCAAAUCUCACUCUCUCCGCCA